rnacentral:rRNA from 1 species
AGUGAACGCUGGCGGUAGGCCUAACACAUGCAAGUCGAGCGGCAGCACAGGAGAGCUUGCUCUCUGGGUGGCGAGUAGCGGACGGGUGAGGGAUACAUCGGAAUCUACUCUGUCGUGGGGGAUAACGUAGGGAAACUUACGCUAAUACCGCAUACGACCUACGGGUGAAAGCAGGGGACCUUCGGGCCUUGCGCGAUUGAAUGAGCCGAUGUCGGAUUAGCUAGUUGGCGGGGUAAAGGCCCACCAAGGCGACGAUCCGUAGCUGGUCUGAGAGGAUGACCAGCCACACUGGAACUGAGACACGGUCCAGACUCCUACGGGAGGCAGCAGUGGGGAAUAUUGGACAAUGGGCGCAAGCCUGAUCCAGCCAUACCGCGUGGGUGAAGAAGGCCUUCGGGUUGUAAAGCCCUUUUGUUGGGAAAGAAAUCCAGCUGGCUAAUACCCGGUUGGGAUGACGGUACCCAAAGAAUAAGCACCGGCUAACUUCGUGCCAGCAGCCGCCGUAA